UACGUAGGGGGCAAGCGUUGUCCGGAAUUAUUGGGCGUAAAGAGCUCGUAGGCGGUUUGUCGCGUCUGCUGUGAAAAUCCAGGGCUUAACCCUGGACCUGCAGUGGGAACGGGCAGACUAGAGUGCGGUAGGGGAGAUCGGAAUUCCUGGUGUAGCGGUGAAAUGCGCAGAUAUCAGGAGGAACACCGGUGGCGAAGGCGGCAUCCUGGACCGGCAUUGACGCUGAUGAGCGAAAGCGUGGGGAGCGAACAGG
rnacentral:rRNA from 1 species